GGCUCUGUGGCGCAAUGGAUAGCGCAUUGGACUUCUAGGCUGUGAGCUGAGCCAUUCAAAGGUUGUAGGUUCAAGUCCCAUCUGAGUCA
rnacentral:tRNA from 1 species